GCCUGAACAUGAAGCUGCAACUCGGCAACUCUGCAUAGGCAUGACAAUCUCCAUACAUGGCUUUUUUAGUUGCUAGUCGGUUCGGAUAAUAAAGGGUUGAUUUCCAGGCCAUGAUUCCGAAAAAUGACACAAGACAGAUAAACGUUGAUUUCCAGGAUUUAUAACAGUGGAGUGAGAAUUGAUUGAAAUAGAAAAGUGACAAGUGUGACACCAUCUACUAGACAAGAUAGGUGCAUGGAAUUUGUGUUCAAGCAAAAUGUGACUUUCUGGUGUGAACAAUCAACAAGUGGUACGCCUUGAUCAUUGGUGAUACGUAUGACCAUUAGUAGCCUAGUCUUCAGAGCUAGGAAGCAAUCCUUUCAAUUCAUUGUGUGGUAGCUACCAGGAAUGCGUCAAUGUAGUAGAGAAGACAGGAAUGCAGUAGAGGCCGCUAUCGAAGCCGGCGGAUUAUGAAGCUCACAUUUGCGAUGUUUUUGGAAUUUGGUCCGUCCGUGACACAACUGCAGUCACUCACCACGGGAUUAUGCCAAGAUCCGAGAGUUUCUGUCUACAUUUAUGAGAAGUUUCUGGAUGUUCUUUCAAGAAAAAGGACAAGGACUAUACGGUCAACAUGGUCCCUUGUUUACUAAAACCCGUUGGUUGCUACCCUUUGAUUUCCAUUUUUACUUACUUACAACUUACUUCUUGAUUUGAGGUAUUGCUUUUUGUCACUAGAAUCUUAUUGAAAAUUAUUG